rnacentral:pre_miRNA from 1 species
GUACUACUCCUUCUGUCCGAAAAUACUUGUUCGAGAAAUGGAUGUAUCUAGUUGUAUUUUAAUUUUAAAUACAUUUAUUUUUAUCCAUUUGUACGACAAGUAUUUCCGGACGAAGGAAGUAGGAG